GUGCUUGCUUCAGCAGCAUAUAUACAAAAAUUGGAACGAUACAGCUUAGAAUGAUCCUUGUGCACGAAUAACAUGUAAAUUUGUGAAGUAUUCUAUAUUUUU